UACGUAGGGGGCAAGCGUUGUCCGGAAUCAUUGGGCGUAAAGAGCGCGUAGGCGGCCCAGUAAGUCCGCUCUGAAAGUCAGGGGCUCAACCCCUGAAUGCGGGUGGAUACUGCUGGGCUAGAGUCCGGAAGAGGAGAGUGGAAUUCCCGGUGUAGCGGUGAAAUGCGCAGAUAUCGGGAAGAACACCCGUGGCGAAGGCGGCUCUCUGGGACGGUACUGACGCUGAGACGCGAAAGCGUGGGGAGCGAACAGG
rnacentral:rRNA from 1 species